GUUUUCCACUCUGCUCCAAAAAGAGAAAGCAGAGGUAAAUGACGGAAAAUUGACUUGGUCAGAGAGGUACUAUUUUGUUCUUUUUCCUGGUCAUGGCCUACCAAGACUUUUCUGUAGUAUGCAAAACCGCGGACCUGUAAAAGUGUCUUGGUCAUGACUUGUGUAGUUAAUAAUUUAUUAAGGAACACUUGCAUAAUAAGGAAGAGAAGUUAAUGUAUUUAGUCGCAGAGUAGUCUGUAGUUGAAGUCAAAUCCGCGUAUCAAAACAAUUCCGCCUUCCAUUCCACCAUAACAAUUCCGCCUUCCAUUCCACCAUGUGAAUCGAACUGCUUUGUUUUUGACUGAAAUAAUUGCUCUUGCACAAGUCAAUGAAGAAUUAAGGAUAAAACUGGAAGGGAAAAUGAACCACGAGAAUCCAACCUCUCUUCUGAGAUCAGUUAAAACAACAGCUUGUUGAAAGUAAAGCUCGCUUCCGGCUUAACCAAGAUGGCUGACCCUGCUCUCUCUUUUGUAAUUCAGAGAACUGGCGAUCUGCUGGUUCAAAAAUUUGUUUUCCUGAAAGGCGUUCGACGACAAGUUGAGAGGCUUCAAAAUGAUCUGGUCCGGAUGCGGUGUUUCCUGAAAGAUGCUGAUCAGAAGCAAAUUGAAGAAGAGAGGAUCCGCAACUGGGUUUCUGAAAUCAGAGCUGCUGCCUACGAUGCGGAGGAUGUCAUCGAGAUCUUUGCCAGCAAAGUUGAGUUCUUCACAAAGGACAAGGGACUCGUCACCAAAUUGACGUAUUAUCCCUUGAAAAUUGGGAACCUCUACAAGAUAGGCAAAGAGAUUGAAUCCUUACGGAUGAGGCUCAAGGAGAUUGCUGAUAGCCGCGAAGAGUAUGGUAUCAAAAAUCUUGAAGGGGGAACGACUACGCGUGGGGAAGAGCUUCAAUGGAUCCGGCGAUCCUCUCCUUUCAGCGACGAAAAGGAUGUAGUGGGCUUCGGGGAGAUAACAAAAUCGCUGGUGGCAGAACUUUUGAAAGAGGACAGAAACCGCCGCGUCGUUUCAAUCAUUGGCAUGGGAGGUGCUGGUAAGACAACUCUAGCCACAAAAGUUUAUAACCAUGCUGAUGUUAGGGAGAGAUUCAACUGCCGUGCUUGGGUAUGUGUCUCUUCAAGCUACGAUUACAAAAAGAUGCUGAGGGCAAUCAUAAAGCAACUGAAUCCAAUAACUAAUAAGCUACUUGACAUGUUGGAAAAGAUGGAAGAGGAAGACUUGGAACGAAGGCUCUAUCAAGAUCUACAAGACAAAUGUUAUCUUGUGGUGCUUGAUGAUGUAUGGGAGGUAGCAGCGUGGGAUUGUCUUGCCAGGAGGGCCUUUCCUGAUGUUGGCACAUCAAGUAGAGUGCUACUUACAAGUCGCAAUCGGGAUGUUGCCCAACACGCUGAUGCUUAUAGACACCCGUAUGAGUUGAAAACUUUGGGGCAGGAAGACAGCUGGCAGUUGUUUCUCAAAAAGGCCUUAGGCCACGGAGCUAAUGCUGGGUGUCCUUCGGAUUUGGAAGAAGUAGGCAGAGAGAUUGCAAGGAGAUGUGGCGGUCUACCACUGGCCAUAACGGUUAUAGGUGGCCUGCUACUAGGCAAGAAUAAGUCGAAUACUGAAUGGGAGAACGUUCUCAACAACUUUGGCGCAUACCUAUCAAGGAGCCAGAGUGAAGCAGGGAAAAUUAGUGAAGCAGGGGCAAUUCUGGAAUUAAGUUAUGCAGACCUCCCUGCCAAUCUGAAAUUUUGCUUUUUGUAUUUGGGUUUGUUUCCGGAAGACUCCGUGAUUUCUGUGCACAAGUUGAUCCAUAUGUGGGUUGCUGAGGGAAUAAUGCAGAAAAGAGAUGCAAAAAAUUUGGAGGAAACUGCAGCAUAUGAAGAUGUGGAGCGACUUUGUAGCAGAAAUAUGGUCCAGGUGGCGGAAAUGACGGUUGAUAAGAGGAUUAAAAGCUGCAGAGUCCAUGAUUUACUGCGAGAGCUUGCAAUCAGAAAGGCAGAGGAUGAAAUUUUUUUUCAAAUCCAUGGCACCAGAGAUGAUAAAAUAUCAGCCAAAUCCAGGUACCUUGCUGUUCAUAGUCUCCCUCUGGAUGAAAAUUAUUUUGGGUCUUCGACCCCUCCUCUCCGGUCUCUACUUGUUUUCAAUAUCCGCAGUUUCGGGGAAAACUUUAGUCUUAGCUUCAAAAGUUUCAAAAAGCUCAGGAUACUAGACCUUGAGAAUGCUGGGAUGGGUAAUUUGCCAGAAGGAAUUGGUGAAGUCAGGCUUCUAAGGUACCUCAAUUUAAGAGACACACACAUUGAAAGGCUCCCUCAUUCCGUCGGUUGCUUGCGAUACCUACAAACUCUUGACAUACGGACAAGGAAAGGCCCAAAUCAGAGAGUGAAAGUUUCAAAUUUCAUUUGGAAGCUUGAAAGUUUACGGCAUCUAUAUGCGCGUUAUAUGGAAUGUGAUGUGCCUCUUAAGAUUGAAGGAUUGAGGAAUCUCCAGACUUUGUCACGCAUACGCUUUGAUGAUAUCAUGCAUAAUGACAUGAUAACUCUGACAAGUCUUCAGAAACUGGGAAUUUGGGUGGAUGACAGGUCAGACAUAGACAAACUCUGUCUGCAUUUAUCUGAGGUUGGAAGCCUAAAGACGUUACGUCUUUGUCGGUAUUCGGGAAAUCCAGGAUCUCAAGGUGGAUUUUCUAAGCUCCGUCAUGUAACAGAGCUUAAGCUAUCCAAUUGGACAAUGCUGCCUCCUGAUUUCCCUCCAAAUCUCUCUCGCUUGUCUUUGAAAUACGUAAUUCUCGAUGAUGACCCAAUGCCAGUACUGGAGAAGUUGGGACAGCUGUCGUUCCUCAAAAUGAAAUUUCAAUUUGGGGGACCCAUUUCUAGGCAUAUGGUCAUUUCUAGGCAUGGGUUUCACCAAUUGAAAUUCCUUGUGCUCAAGGACCGACUCAUGAAUGAAAUAAAGGUGGAGAAAGGUGCACUGCCACAGCUUCGGUGCCUGAGAAUCAGGGACUGCCGCAAAUUACAGAAAUUGCCGGAAGAGCUGAAGCACAUAUCUAGUCUUGAUGCGCUCGAGCUUGUGGACAUGCCAGAAGAUUUCAUCAGUGGGCUUGAUGCGGACCUGGUAUCCCGUGUCCCUAAUCUCAGAAUAUUUUGACUCGCAGAAGGAAAGAAGAUCAAACGGAGAAUGCAACCUGGUAUUUGUAUUUCGCGCAUAGAAUGGAAGUUGAGAGAUUCAUUCCCCUCGUCCAUGCUGACAAAAUUUGCCGGACUGCAUUUGUUCGAAUGAAAUUGUCUCGUAGAAAUAAAUAAAUAAAUAAAAGGGCUAUAACCUGUUGCUAUCAUAUACAAAACAGGAGAGAGUAAUCUACCUCGACCCUACAUUGAGGUUUGGUCUUAUACUAUUGAGUGAUAAAAGACGCACAUAAUUAUGUGUCUUAAGAAAAUAUUAUACGAAAUCUAUAUUUAUCUGUACAAGUAUA